rnacentral:rRNA from 1 species
CCUACGGGUGGCAGCAGUCGAGAAUCAUUCACAAUGGGGGAAACCCUGAUGGUGCGACGCCGCGUGGGGGAAUGCAGGUCUUCGGAUUGUAAACCCCUGUCAUGUGGGAGCAAAUUAAAAAGAUAGUACCACAAGAGGAAGAGACGGCUAACUCUGUGCCAGCAGCCGCGGUAAUACAGAGGUCUCAAGCGUUGUUCGGAAUCACUGGGCGUAAAGCGUGCGUAGGCUGUUUCGUAAGUCGUGUGUGAAAGGCGCGGGCUCAACCCGCGGACGACACAUGAUACUGCGAGACUAGAGUAAGGGAGGGGGAACCGGAAUUCUCGGUGUAGCAGUGAAAUGCGUAGAUAUCGAGAGGAACACUCGUGGCGAAGGCGGGUUCCUGGACAUUAACUGACGCUGAGGCACGAAGGCCAGGGGAGCGAAAGGGAUUAGAUACCCCAGUAGUC